rnacentral:siRNA from 1 species
UAGUGAUGACAACAACCAACCACA